rnacentral:rRNA from 1 species
UACGAAGGGGGCUAGCGUUGCUCGGAUUGACUGGGCGUAAAGGGCGCGUAGGCGGUUUGCCCAGUUGGGCGUGAAAUUCCUGGGCUUAACCUGGGGGCUGCGUUCAAUACGUGUAGGCUUGAGUUCGGAAGAGGGUCGUGGAAUUCCCAGUGUAGAGGUGAAAUUCGUAGAUAUUGGGAAGAACACCGGUGGCGAAGGCGGCGACCUGGUCCGAUACUGACGCUGAGGCGCGAAAGCGUGGGGAGCAAACAGG